UGAGACUAUAUCUGAGACCUCUUCAUUCUGUGCAUAGAAAGACUUUCCAGGAAUAUAGAUGCUAAGCUCACUCCAAAAUUUAGAAUCCUACUAGCAUCUCCAAACAAGCCCCCCCUCCAUAUCCUACCUCUUCUUUGUAGAUGAUUAAAUCCUUUUCUCUAGAGCCAUCCCCGAGGACUAUAAAGUCAUCAAUACUACCAUCUCUGAGUUCU
rnacentral:lncRNA from 1 species